CUCUCCUUGCUGUCCUUCCUCCUCUGGUAGCUUCCUCUGCUGGGAAGAAGGGUGGGGAAGAGAUGCUGCAAGAGCUACAGAACUCCCGGCAGCCCUUAGGUUUGUUGUUUCCCUUUAUGACCUUCGGCCCUUUUCUAAAUCCAGCAGACAUCUGACUCCCUGGCAUGAUCAUCACACUCACGGUCAGAACGGCAGCACACACUCUGGCACUGAUGCCGGGAACUGUGAGUCACUGCUCCGGGUUCUUCCUGGUGUGGAAGUGAGUCUCCGAAGAGGGAGAAAGAGCAGUCUGUCAGGAAUAUUGGAUAUGGCUACAAUAUAACAGAAGAAGGAAUGACUCAUGAAAUGGAGGACUAUUCAUUGAUUAGGAGAGUGUGAAGAUAGGGUACGUAAGACACACAGUGUGCCCUCAGAGAGUCUAUUCUCUAAAAGGAAAGCUUGUGCAUAAGCCACGUUGGAUGUAAAAUGUAUAUAGAAAGCAGUGCAGACAUUCAGAACAGACUCAUCCCGAGGAAGGCUUACUAGAAGAAGGGCGAUGUGUGCCAGUCCAGCAUGUGUUGAGUCCCCACUGUGAGGCUGUUCUGGGCAUUUGAAUAUUCAACGAGGCUAUGCAGAGAGAAGAGGCGGAGUCAAAGAAGAGAGGCAGGAAGAUGAAGCUUGGGUGGAAACAAAUACCUCAAGUCGCAGCCACAUCCUAACAGAGAUACUUCAUGCACUAUAUCCCAUGGAAUUAUUUAAGAUGAGUAAAACUCUUUUGAGAAAUUAUUUUCUUUGUUCAAAGACUCAUACGUGGAUCCUUCCUGAAAAAUAUGUGAUUAGUCUUUUUAUCUAAAAGACCAUGGAAUUCUUCAUUUUCUCAGUUUUUUUUUUUCCUACCUCCUCUUUCUUCAUCCGUUAUUUUCAACGAUAAAAAUGUAAACUUUGUUACAAGGUCAUUUGGAACUGGGAGCUUUUAGAAAAACAUUGAAUGAAAUAAAACAUAGUCAGUGACUAUAUGACUUUA
ensembl:lncRNA